rnacentral:rRNA from 1 species
GGGGAAUAUUGCGCAAUGGGCGAAAGCCUGACGCAGCAACGCCGCGUGAGGGAUGAAGUACGUCGAGAUGUAAACCUCUUUCAGCAGGGACGAAGCGAAAGUGACGGUACCUGCAGAAGAAGCGCCGGCUAACUACGUGCCAGCAGCCGCGGUAAUACGUAGGGCGCAAGCGUUGUCCGGAUUUAUUGGGCGUAAAGGGCUCGUAGGCGGUCUGUCACGUCGGAUGUGAAAACUCAGUGCUUAACACUGGGCCUGCAUUCGAUACGGGCAGACUAGAGUUCGGUAGGGGAGACUGGAACUCCUGGUGUAGCGGUGGAAUGCGCAGAUAUCAGGAAGAACACCGAUGGCGAAGGCAGGUCUCUGGGCCGAUACUGACGCUGAGGAGCGAAAGCGUGGGGAGCGAAC